rnacentral:rRNA from 1 species
UACGUAGGCAGCAAGCGUUGUUCGGAGUUACUGGGCGUAAAGGGUGCGUAGGCGGCUCUAUAAGUAUGGUGUGAAAUCCCCGGGCUUAACCUGGGAACUGCAUUGGUGACUGGCAGGCUAGAGUAUGGCAGAGGGGGGUAGAAUUCCACGUGUAGCAGUGAAAUGCGUAGAUAUGCGGAGGAACACCGAUGGCGAAGGCAAUCCCCUGGACCUGUACUGACGCUCAUGCACGAAAGCGUGGGGAGCAAACAGG